AUUGAACGCUGGCGGCAGGCCUAACACAUGCAAGUCGAACGGUAGCACAGAGAGCUUGCUCUCGGGUGACGAGUGGUGGACGGGUGAGUAAUGUCUGGGAAACUGCCCGAUGGAGGGGGAUAACUACUGGAAACGGUAGCUAAUACCGCAUAACGUCGCAAGACCAAAGUGGGGGACCUUCGGGCCUCACACCAUCGGAUGUGCCCAGAUGGGAUUAGCUAGUAGGUGGGGUAAUGGCUCACCUAGGCGACGAUCCCUAGCUGGUCUGAGAGGAUGACCAGCCACACUGGAACUGAGACACGGUCCAGACUCCUACGGGAGGCAGCAGUGGGGAAUAUUGCACAAUGGGCGCAAGCCUGAUGCAGCCAUGCCGCGCGUAUGAAGAAGGCCUUCGGGUUGUAAAGUACUUUCAGCGGGGAGGAAGGCGGUGAAGUUAAUAACUUCACCGAUUGACGUUACCCGCAGAAGAAGCACCGGCUAACUCCGUGCCAGCAGCCGCAGUAA
rnacentral:rRNA from 1 species